CUUCGGAUUGUAAACUCCUUUGAGGGGAAGAAUGCCUGAGUGAAGAACUCAGGGUGACGGUACUCUCUGAAUAAGCCACGGCUAACUACGUGC
rnacentral:rRNA from 1 species